rnacentral:rRNA from 1 species
AUUGAACGCUGGCGGCAUGCUUUACACAUGCAAGUCGAACGGUAACAGGUUAAGCUGACGAGUGGCGAACGGGUGAGUAAUGCAUCGGAACGUGCCCGGUCGUGGGGGAUAACGCAGCGAAAGCUGCGCUAAUACCGCAUACGAUCUGAGGAUGAAAGCGGGGGACCGUAAGGCCUCGCGCGAUCGGAGCGGCCGAUGUCAGAUUAGGUAGUUGGUGGGGUAAAGGCUCACCAAGCCGACGAUCUGUAGCUGGUCUGAGAGGCCGACCAGCCACACUGGGACUGAGACACGGGCCAGACUCCUACGGGAGGCAGCAGUGGGGAAUUUUGGACAAUGGGCGCAAGCCUGAUCCAGCAAUGCCGCGUGCAGGAAGAAGGCCUUCGGGUUGUAAACUGCUUUUGUACGGAGCGAAAAGGCUCUCUCUAAUACAGGGGGCUCAUGACGGUACCGUAAGAAUAAGCACCGGCUAACUACGUGCCAGCCGCCGCAGUAA